AGCGUAGACGGUGAGACAAGUCUGAAGUGAAAUCCCGGGGCUCAACCCCGGAACUGCUUUGGAAACUGCCUGACUGGAGUGCAGGAGAGGUAAGUGGAAUUCCUAGUGUAGCGGUGAAAUGCGUAGAUAUUAGGAGGAACACCAGUGGCGAAGGCGGCUUACUGGACUGUAACUGACGUCGAGGCUCGAAAGCGUGGGGAGCAAACA
rnacentral:rRNA from 1 species